rnacentral:rRNA from 1 species
CCUACGGGUGGCAGCAGUGAGGAAUAUUGGUCAAUGGACGAGAGUCUGAACCAGCCAAGUAGCGUGAAGGAUGACUGCCCUAUGGGUUGUAAACUUCUUUUAUAAAGGAAUAAAACGAGGCACGUGUGCCUUUUUUCCUGUACCUUAUGGAUAAAGAAUCGGCAAACCCGUGCCAGCAGCCGCGGUAAUACGGAGGAUCCGAGGGUUAACCGGAUUUAUUGGGUUUAAAGGGAGCGUAGAUGGGUUGUUAAGUUAGUUGUGAAAGUUUGCGGCUCAACCGUAAAAUUGCAAUUGAUACUGGCAGUCUUGAGUACAGGUGAGGUAGGCGGAAUUCGUGGUGUAGCGGUGAAAUGCGUAGAUAUCACGAAGAACCCCGAUUGCGAAGGCAGCUUACUAAACUGUGACUGACAUUGAUGCUCGAAAGUGUGGGUAUCAAACAGGAUUAGAUACCCGAGUAGUC